UAUAAGAUGAUGUUUAAGGAUGAUUGUUCUCUUGGAGAAAUUAUGAGCGUCAGAAGAACUUUGUUGAUAAGGUGUGGGCGCGUGUUGUCAACUACGGACCUGCAGUUUUUAGUUUAACGUGUUUUGUAUUUUUGGUUAUUUUUGUAAUUACGAAUUUAAUAUUUCAGAUAUUAGUAUUUUAUUUUAAAUAGAAUUCUAAAAGAGAGGAGAGAGAGAGUAUUUAAGGGAGGAAUCUAUUGUGAAAAUAG
rnacentral:lncRNA from 1 species